rnacentral:rRNA from 1 species
UCCGUAGGUGAACCUGCGGAAGGAUCAUUACUGAAGUCGCUGGCAGGUUUGUUGCUGGUUCUCCGGAGCAUUGUGCACGCCUUCCACACUUUAUUCAACCACCUGUGCACCUCCUGUAGUCUCUCAGAUGAAUUUUCAGUCUUCGGAUUGGUUGGGAUUGCUGCCUUUCGCAAGAGGGGCUUCAGUCCAAUGUCUGAGGGGCUAUGUUUACAUAUACACUUUAAAAUUACCAGAAUGAAUCACGGUCUUUACAGACCUUAAAACAAAAUACAACUUUCAACAACGGAUCUCUUGGCUCUCGCAUCGAUGAAGAACGCAGCGAAAUGCGAUAAGUAAUGUGAAUUGCAGAUUUCAGUGAAUCAUCGAAUCUUUGAACGCACCUUGCGCUCUUUGGUAUUCCGAAGAGCAUGCCUGUUUGAGUGUCAUUAAAUUCUCAACUCCUCAACGGUUGUCAUGACCGCUGUUGAGCUUGGAUGUGAGGGUUUUGCUGGCUUUCACGAGUCAGCUCCCUUGAAAAUUAUUAGCGCAGCUUCUGCAAGUCGCUUAGUGUGAUAAUCUAUCUACGCUUAUGUGACGCGCAUGAAUGAAGUUUUGUGCUUCUAACCGUCUUCUCUGGAGACAAUAUUUUUUGAACUUGACCUCAAAUCAGGUAGGACUACCCGCUGAACUUAAGCAUAUCAAUAAGCGGAGGA